GACGAACGCUGGCGGCGUGCUUAACACAUGCAAGUCGAACGGAAAGGCCCUGCUUUUGUGGGGUGCUCGAGUGGCGAACGGGUGAGUAACACGUGAGUAACCUGCCCUUGACUUUGGGAUAACUUCAGGAAACUGGGGCUAAUACCGGAUAGGAGCUCCUGCUGCAUGGUGGGGGUUGGAAAGUUUCGGCGGUUGGGGAUGGACUCGCGGCUUAUCAGCUUGUUGGUGGGGUAGUGGCUUACCAAGGCUUUGACGGGUAGCCGGCCUGAGAGGGUGACCGGCGACAUUGGGACUGAGAUACGGCCCAGACUCCUACGGGAGGCAGCAGUGGGGAAUAUUGCACAAUGGGCGGAAGCCUGAGGCAGAAACGCCGCGUGCGGGAUGACGGCCUUCGGGUUGUAAACCGCUUUCGCCUGUGACGAAGCGUGAGUGACGGUAAUGGGUAAAGAAGCACCGGCUAACUACGUG
rnacentral:rRNA from 1 species